CUUUGAUGUGAUGUUAUGUGAAUUUACGUGACUGAGUGAUUAUGUGAUUUUGUGACGUGUGUCAUUAUGACCAAGUGAUUAUGAUUUUUAUUUGAGACCUUAGCACUUGGAAUUUUUAUUAAGUUUACAAAGCAAGUGCAGUUUAUUUUUAUCGAGAAAUCGAAUGAUGCCGGUUUAUGAAAAUUUUUCCGAGCAUAAUAUUUUUUUUAAUUAUUUUCCUUCCUACGAAGAGGAAUAUUAUAUAUAUGUGAGUGCACUAAUAUGAGUGCUAUAAUUAUUAUUUUGGUCACAUGAAUAUUUAUGAUGUGGUAUUUUAUUAAUGAGUGACUUUACCAUAGUUUUGUGAUUUUAUUUGAUCACCUUUCACACACUUUAUUUAAUUACCCAUACCAUAUGUUAUAUGCCUAAAUUUUGCUAAGUAUAGAAUUGAGAGAGUAGAGAAUUGAGAGUAUGAGAUGGAGAGUGUAGAGAUUAGAGAGAGAUUAGAGUGAGAGAGAGAUCAUCCAUUAAUUACUAAAUAUUCCCUAAGAUUUACAAAUCUCUUUAAAGAUACACAAGAUCAUCCAAAUCAAAUACAAUCUUGCAAAAGUUUCCUCUCUCUUCUCCACCCCAUUUUCGGUCAUCUCUCUCCCUCCCUUCAUCUCUCUACUUUCCUCCAUUGUUAGCCAUAGAUGAGACCUCCGAAGCUCUACCAAAGUAUGCCAAACACAUAAAUCACUACUUAAAUCCUCCAUAAACACUUCCAUCUCCUUAAAUUCAAGAGAAUCCUUGAAGAUUGGUUUCAAGAAUAGUGAGAGAAAAUUUGGAUAAUUGGUGAAAACUUGGACACGAGCAGAGCAAGGAAGUAAGUAACUCCACUUUGACGGGAGUUUUUGAGUAAGGUCUUCAGGCUAAGCUAGGAGUGAGAUUGGUCUGGUGCUGGUGGGGGAUCGUUAGAUGACGUAUUUGCUUUAUCGUAUUUCCUUUUUAUCGAUAAAGUCUUGAUGUGAAGUUACUUUGAAUAUGAAUCAAGUAAUAUACUCACGGUUAUGUGUCUCCAUACAUGUAACUGGUUCGCCUUUUUCUGCGAUACUCUGCAUAUUAUGUUCCUUAUGAAAAAUAAGCUAUACCUGUUUUGUUUUUGUUCGUGAAAUUCCUGAUAAUUAAAAAGUUACAAUGACGUUGACGA